rnacentral:rRNA from 1 species
AUAUUGGGCCAUGGGCGCAAGCCUGAUCCAGCCAUGCCGCGGGUGUGAAGAAGGUCUUCGGAUUGUAAAGCACUUUAAGUUGGGAGGAAGGGCUGCAAGUUAAUACAUUGCUGUUUUGACGUUAACGUGAGAAUGAUCACCGGCUAACUUCGUGCCAGCAGCCGCGGUAAUACGAAGGGUGCAAGCGUUAAUCGGAAUUACUGGGCGUAAAGCGCGCGUAGGUGGUUUGUUAAGUUGGAAGUGAAAGCCCCGGGCUCAACCUGGGAACUGCUUUCAAAACUGGCAAGCUAGAGUAUGGCAGAGGGUGGUGGAAUUUCCUGUGUAGCGGUGAAAUGCGUAGAUAUAGGAAGGAACACCAGUGGCGAAGGCGACCACCUGGGCUAAUAAUGACACUGAGGUACGAAAGCGUGGGGAGCAAAC